UCCUACUGCACUACAUACAACACUGAUCCUACUGUAGAGGUACUGGUACCAUCCUACUACACUACAUCACUGAUCCUACUGUAGAGGUUCUGGUACCAUCCUACUACACUACACCACUGAUCCUACUGUAGAGGUACUGGUACCAUCCUACUGCACUACAUACACUGAUCCUACUGUAGAGGUACUGGUACCAUCCUACUACACUACAUACAUCACUGAUCCUACUGUAGAGGUACUGGUACCAUCCUACUACACUACAUACACCACUGAUCCUACUGUAGAGGUACUGGUACCAUCCUACUACACUACAUCACUGAUCCUACU
rnacentral:lncRNA from 1 species